rnacentral:rRNA from 1 species
GUAGUUAACACCUGCAUAUUUGACGUUACCUACAGAAGAAGCACCGGCUAACUCCGUGCCAGCAGCCGCGGUAAUACGGAGGGUGCGAGCGUUAAUCGGAAUUACUGGGCGUAAAGCGCAUGCAGGCGGCCUGUUAAGUCAGAUGUGAAAGACCCGGGGCGUUAACCUCGGAAUUGCAUUUGAAACUGGCAGGCUAGAGUCUUGUAGAGGGGGGUAGGAAGUUUCAGGUGUAGCGGUGAAAUAGCGUAGAGAUCUGAAGGAAUACCAGUGGCGAAGGCGGCCCCCUCGGACAAAGACUGACGCUCAGAUGCGAAAGCGUGGGGAGCAAACAGGAUUAGAUACCCUGGUAG